GCCUUUACUGACGCUAAAGCUCGAAGGUGCGGGUAUCGAACAGGAUUAGAUACCCUGGUAGUCCGCACGGUAAACGAUGGAUGCCCGCUGUUUGCGAUAUACUGUGAGCGGCCAAGAGAAAUCGUUAAGCAUCCCACCUGGGGAGUACGCCGGCAACGGUGAAACUCAAAGGAAUUGACGGGGGCCCGCACAAGCGGAGGAACAUGUGGUUUAAUUCGAUGAUACGCGAGGAACCUUACCCGGGCUUGAACUGCAGGAGAACGAUACAGAGAUGUUGAGGCCCUUCGGGGCUCCUGUGGAGGUGCUGCAUGGUUGUCGUCAGCUCGUGCCGUGAGGUGUCGGCUUAAGUGCCAUAACGAGCGCAACCCUUUUCAUUAGUUGCCAUCAGGUAAUGCUGGGCACUCUGGUGAUACUGCCACCGUAAGGUGUGAGGAAGGUGGGGAUGACGUCAAAUCAGCACGGCCCUUACGUCCGGGGCUACACACGUGUUACAAUGGGGGGUACAGAAGGCGGGAUCAAUGCAAAUUGGUUCAAAUCUUAAAAGCCCUCCUCAGUUCGGAUUGGGGUCUGCAACCCGACCCCAUGAAGCUGGAUCGCUAGU
rnacentral:rRNA from 1 species